GGCCGUUGCGCUUUACCUGUGUGGUAGCGCGUUCGACUCCAGAUCGAAAGGUUGGGCGUUCGAUCCGCUCAGUGGUCA